UGGAUCCAGACUUUGAUCCUGGCUCAGGACGAACGCUGGCGGCGUGCCUAAUACAUGCAAGUAGAACGCUGAAGAGAGGAGCUUGCUCUUCUUGGAUGAGUUGCGAACGGGUGAGUAACGCGUAGGUAACCUGCCUUGUAGCGGGGGAUAACUAUUGGAAACGAUAGCUAAUACCGCAUAACAAUGGAUGACUCAUGUCAUUUAUUUGAAAGGGGCAAAUGCUCCACUACAAGAUGGACCUGCGUUGUAUUAGCUAGUAGGUGAGGUAACGGCUCACCUAGGCGACGAUACAUAGCCGACCUGAGAGGGUGAUCGGCCACACUGGGACUGAGACACGGCCCAGACUCCUACGGGAGGCAGCAGUAGGGAAUCUUCGGCAAUGGGGGCAACCCUGACCGAGCAACGCCGCGUGAGUGAAGAAGGUUUUCGGAUCGUAAAGCUCUGUUGUAAGUCAAGAACGAGUGUGAGAGUGGAAAGUUCACACUGUGACGGUAGCUUACCAGAAAGGGACGGCUAACUACGUGCCAGCAGCCGCGGUAAUACGUAGGUCCCGAGCGUUGUCCGGAUUUAUUGGGCGUAAAGCGAGCGCAGGCGGUUUGAUAAGUCUGAAGUUAAAGGCUGUGGCUCAACCAUAGUUCGCUUUGGAAACUGUCAAACUUGAGUGCAGAAGGGGAGAGUGGAAUUCCAUGUGUAGCGGUGAAAUGCGUAGAUAUAUGGAGGAACACCGGUGGCGAAAGCGGCUCUCUGGUCUGUAACUGACGCUGAGGCUCGAAAGCGUGGGGAGCGAACAGGAUUAGAUACCCUGGUAGUCCACGCCGUAAACGAUGAGUGCUAGGUGUUGGAUCCUUUCCGGGAUUCAGUGCCGCAGCUAACGCAUUAAGCACUCCGCCUGGGGAGUACGACCGCAAG
rnacentral:rRNA from 1 species